rnacentral:rRNA from 1 species
UACGUAGGGUGCAAGCGUUGUCCGGAUUUAUUGGGCGUAAAGAGCUCGUAGGCGGUUUGGUAAGUCGGGUGUGAAAGCUCCGGGCUCAACUCGGAGAGGUCACUCGAUACUGCCAUGACUGGAGUCCGGUAGGGGGGUGUGGAAUUCCCAGUGUAGCGGUGAAAUGCGCAGAUAUUGGGAGGAACACCAAUGGCGAAGGCAGCACCCUGGGCCGGUACUGACGCUGAGGAGCGAAAGCGUGGGGAGCGAACAGG